GGUCUGGCUGCAGCCACUGGGGAGCGCCAUAUUGGGACCUCCACACUAACCGGAAACACGUGACCUCCACAGUAGCCGGAAACACGUGACCUCCACAGUAACCGGAAACACGUGACCUCCACAAUCGGCAGAAAUACGUUCCUGCGUGCAUCAUCGACUGUGGAAACCUUGCAAGUGGAUCGUAAAGAUGCACAUAUCAAUUUGGAAUUCUGCCUCCAAGCCAGAAUUGCAGGAAUGCACCACGUGUUGCCGAAGACUCUUUCACUGCCCUCUGUGCCCCACUUUCAGCCCUACUGUCAGGGCAAAGAUUGAGGAGCAAAUAAAUGGACACAUUAAAAAUGCUUUGCCUUUCAAAGACAAAAUGAUAUGCUGGUGCACUUUCACUGCCCUGUCUGUAACAUGACAAUCAUACAGCGUGGGGAUAUGGCAAGGCAAAUAUUGUCAUGUCAGCGUUUAGGACUGCUCCCCACUGCACUCUCCGUGGAGCCACAUCUCCCUCUCGAUGUCUUGUCUCCAGCAUCUAAACCAUUUUCUGAAUCUUUGGUAGAACAUUCAUGUGCUCUACCCUCUGUGCUCUACCCUCUGUGCUCUACCCUCUGUGCUCUACCCUCUGUGCUCUACCCUCUGUGCUAAAUGAAACUGUGGCUUGUGGAAAGUCUAUGGAAAUGAAAUGCCCUCACUGUGGUCUUAGUCUUCUUACAAAAAAAAAAAACAAGGCUCACAUGAUGAGGAGGCAUUCAAACAGAUCAAUAGAUGUUUGCCUGGCCUGUCAUCUGCAGUGUUUUUGUGUAGAGGGACUUCUUCCUCUUUGUUUUUCAGUUUGCAGAGGACAUGGAGCUCUUUUUAAAAGCAUGUGCUGACGAGCAGGGACUAUGGGUCAAUGCGAUGUUUGACAUUUAAUGGACAGAAGAAGGCACUAGCUGUUUGUUUGUGUUUUUUAUGUGUUGUUUGUUUUUCAGUGUACAGAAUUCCAGUUAAGCUUAUUAUAAAAUGUUGUUCACUUGUUUCCAUGUCCAUACUAAUAGUAAAAAAUUUAAGUGUAAAUGUAACAGCAUGGUUUAUACUUGUAACUUCAAAGUAAAAAGCUUAUUGUUGAUAUUAACAUUAAUGUAUUACCCUGUAAUUAAUAAUAUUUUUAUACAUUUUACGCAUUAACACUCUGGGCUCUAUCCUGUCCAUUUGUGGCCACUUCACUUCUUCUUUUUUGACGACUACACUGCAGUGGACCAAAAGAAUGACACAGGUUUGAUCUUAAGGAUCUAAUAGUUGUGUGUGUUUGUGCAUGACAUUGCAACGCAAAUAUGUAUUUGCAAGAUAGACUGGGAAUAAAUUAUGACCCAUCAAAUAUUACACAGGCUGCAGUGAAUUUUUGUUGAUACAGGUUAUUGACCUUUGUGUUUCCCAGUCAAACUUAGCUUUGACACACAUGCUAACACUUUUACUCUUGUGCAUUUCAUAACAAGACACCAUAGCCAAAAUAUUAACUCUAUCAAAAAAAUUCAAAGCUGCAGCUGCAGCACACACAGCAACAAACACUGUUAGUAAAUGUAUCCUGGGGUUUAUGCAGAUGCAAAAAGUGCUACUGCUGUAAGUAAGCCUAACAGCUUCCAGAUCACUUAUCUUUCUGGAAAGAUGGUAAGAAAGGCAUCACUGCUCAUCUCUACAAUCUCCCAGAUCUUGGAAUACAAUGCCUUUGUCCCAUGAAAAUCACUUCACAGUACUAAGAGUCCACUAAAACCUACAAAUGAAGAGUGAUCCUGGAAGAAAUGGGGUGUACACUAGUGACCUCAACAAUUGCAAGACAGCCUUGUCCCCGAUGCAAAUAUAUGAAAAAAUAAAAUACGAAGAUUUAUGAAACCAUUAGGACUUUAUCACUGUUUUAUCUGAAAAGUUACUGGUAAUAUAUAACCUAACUGGCAUUUAAAGUGUAAAAAACAGAAUGUAGAUAAAAUUUUGGUUUUGCUGAAAAGAACUGGAGCCAACUUUAUUUUUUACAAUUAUUGUAGCUGUUUUAAGACUGUAAAACCCCUCACUACAUGCUUUACACACUUUCCUCAGACAGGCACGAACAUUUUCACACUUUUUUCUUUUGUUUAAACACUCUUAAAGUUCAAACCUUCGUAGAAACACAAGUCCAUUAUAAAAUCAAACCGCGCAAAACGUUUGUUUCGUCGGCAUUGUUGUGUUUGUUGGGGAGAAAACUUACAAACAUACAGUAAAGCACUUCAGAGUUACAUUGCUAGCGAUCGAAGAUUUAUAUAAAUUCGACAAACUAAACUCAUUAUGUACUGUACAGCAGCGGUCCCCAACCUUUUUUGCACCCCGGACCAGUUUAAUGUCAGAAAAUAUUUUCACGGACCAGCCUUUAAGGUGUCGCGGAUAAAUACAACAAAAUAAAAUGAUACAAAG